rnacentral:rRNA from 1 species
AUUGAACGCUAGCGGGAUGCUUUACACAUGCAAGUCGAACGGCAGCGCGGACUUCGGUCUGGCGGCGAGUGGCGAACGGGUGAGUAAUGUAUCGGAACGUGCCCAGUAGCGGGGGAUAACUACGCGAAAGCGUAGCUAAUACCGCAUACGCCCUACGGGGGAAAGCAGGGGAUCGUAAGACCUUGCACUAUUGGAGCGGCCGAUAUCGGAUUAGCUAGUUGGUGAGGUAACGGCUCACCAAGGCGACGAUCCGUAGCUGGUUUGAGAGGACGACCAGCCACACUGGGACUGAGACACGGCCCAGACUCCUACGGGAGGCAGCAGUGGGGAAUUUUGGACAAUGGGGGCAACCCUGAUCCAGCCAUCCCGCGUGUGCGUUGAAGGCCUUCGGGUUGUAAAGCACUUUUGGCAGGAAAGAAACGUCGCGGGCUAAUACCCCGUGGAACUGACGGUACCUGCAGAAUAAGCACCGGCUAACUACGUG